rnacentral:rRNA from 1 species
CUUGGUCAUUUAGAGGAAGUAAAAGUCGUAACAAGGUUUCCGUAGGUGAACCUGCGGAAGGAUCAUUAAAGAGACGUUGCCCUUCGGGGUAUACCUCCCACCCUUUGUUUAUUAUACCUUUGUUGCUUUGGCGGGCCCGUCCUCGGACCACCGGCUUCGGCUGGUCAGCGCCCGCCAGAGGACCUAAAACUCUGUUUGUUCAUAUUGUCUGAGUACUAUAUAAUAGUUAAAACUUUCAACAACGGAUCUCUUGGUUCUGGCAUCGAUGAAGAACGCAGCGAAAUGCGAUAAGUAAUGUGAAUUGCAGAAUUCAGUGAAUCAUCGAAUCUUUGAACGCACAUUGCGCCCCCUGGUAUUCCGGGGGGCAUGCCUGUUCGAGCGUCAUUACAACCCUCAAGCUCUGCUUGGUAUUGGGCUCUGCCGGUCCCGGCAGGCCUUAAAAUCAGUGGCGGUGCCAUUCGGCUUCAAGCGUAGUAAUUCUUCUCGCUUUGGAGGCCCGGGUGCGUGCUUGCCAGCAACCCCCAAUUUUUUCAGGUUGACCUCGGAUCAGGUAGGGAUACCCGCUGAACUUAAGCAUAUCAAUAAGCGGAGGA